rnacentral:rRNA from 1 species
AAAUGAAUUGACGGGGGCCCGCACAAGCAGUGGAGUAUGUGGUUUAAUUCGAAGCAACGCGAAGAACCUUACCAGGACUUGACAUCCAAUGAAUCCUAUAGAGAUAUGGGAGUGCCUUUUGGAACAUUGAGACAGGUGGUGCAUGGUUGUCGUCAGCUCGUGUCGUGAGAUGUUGGGUUAAGUCCCGCAACGAGCGCAACCCCUAUUGUUAGUUGCCAUCAUUAAGUUGGGCACUCUAGCGAGACUGCCGGUGACAAAUCGGAGGAAGGUGGGGAUGACGUCAAAUCAUCAUGCCCCUUAUGUCCUGGGCUACACACGUACUACAAUGGCCGUUAACAGCGGGAAGCAAGACAGCAAUGUGGAGCAAAUCCCCAAAAACGGUCUCAGUUCGGAUUGUAGGCUGCAACUCGCCUACAUGAAGUCGGAAUUGCUAGUAAUCGCGGAUCAGCAUGUCGCGGUGAAUACGUUCCCGGGCCUUGUACACACCGCCCGU